CGGAGUAUAGUAUAGUGGUAGUAUACACGCUUCGGGUGCGUGAGGUCUCGGUUCGAUUCCGAGUACUCCGA
rnacentral:tRNA from 1 species